rnacentral:rRNA from 1 species
UGGAGAGUUUGAUCCUGGCUCAGGACGAACGCUGGCGGCGUGCCUAAUACAUGCAAGUCGAACGCUUCUUUCCUCCCGAGUGCUUGCACUCAAUUGGAAAGAGGAGUGGCGGACGGGUGAGUAACACGUGGGUAACCUACCCAUCAGAGGGGGAUAACACUUGGAAACAGGUGCUAAUACCGCAUAACAGUUUAUGCCGCAUGGCAUAAGAGUGAAAGGCGCUUUCGGGUGUCGCUGAUGGAUGGACCCGCGGUGCAUUAGCUAGUUGGUGAGGUAACGGCUCACCAAGGCCACGAUGCAUAGCCGACCUGAGAGGGUGAUCGGCCACACUGGGACUGAGACACGGCCCAGACUCCUACGGGAGGCAGCAGUAGGGAAUCUUCGGCAAUGGACGAAAGUCUGACCGAGCAACGCCGCGUGAGUGAAGAAGGUUUUCGGAUCGUAAAACUCUGUUGUUAGAGAAGAACAAGGACGUUAGUAACUGAACGUCCCCUGACGGUAUCUAACCAGAAAGCCACGGCUAACUACGUGCCAGCAGCCGCGGUA